AACGAACGCUGGCGGCAGGCUUAACACAUGCAAGUCGAGCGCCCCGCAAGGGGAGCGGCAGACGGGUGAGUAACGCGUGGGAACGUACCCUUUGCUACGGAAUAGCUCCGGGAAACUGGAAUUAAUACCGUAUGUGCCCUACGGGGGAAAGAUUUAUCGGCAAAGGAUCGGCCCGCGUUGGAUUAGCUAGUUGGUGGGGUAAUGGCCUACCAAGGCGACGAUCCAUAGCUGGUCUGAGAGGAUGAUCAGCCACAUUGGGACUGGGACACGGCCCAAACUCCUACGGGAGGCAGCAGUGGGGAAUAUUGGACAAUGGGCGCAAGCCUGAUCCAGCCAUGCCGCGUGAGUGAUGAAUGCCUUAGGGUUGUAAAGCUCUUUCACCGGAGAAGAUAAUGACGGUAUCCGGAGAAGAAGCCCCGGCUAACUUCGUGCCAGCCGCCGCGGUAAGAC
rnacentral:rRNA from 1 species